rnacentral:rRNA from 1 species
CCUACGGGGGGCUGCAGUGAGGAAUAUUGGUCAAUGGACGAGAGUCUGAACCAGCCAAGUAGCGUGAAGGAUGACUGCCCUAUGGGUUGUAAACUUCUUUUAUAUGGGAAUAAAAUGUUCCACGUGUGGGAUUUUGUAUGUACCAUAUGAAUAAGGAUCGGCUAACUCCGUGCCAGCAGCCGCGGUAAUACGGAGGAUCCGAGCGUUAUCCGGAUUUAUUGGGUUUAAAGGGAGCGUAGGUGGAUUGUUAAGUCAGGUGUGAAAGUUUGCGGCUCAACCGUAAAAUUGCAGUUGAAACUGGCAGUCUUGAGUACAGUAGAGGUGGGCGGAAUUCGUGGUGUAGCGGUGAAAUGCUUAGAUAUCACGAAGAACUCCGAUUGCGAAGGCAGUUCACUGGACUGCAACUGACACUGAGGCUCGAAAGUGUGGGUAUCAAACAGGAUUAGAUACCCGAGUAGUC